rnacentral:rRNA from 1 species
AACGAACGCUGGCGGCAGGCCUAACACAUGCAAGUCGAGCGAGGACUUCGGUCCUAGCGGCGGACGGGUGAGUAACGCGUGGGAACGUGCCCUUUGCUUCGGAAUAGCCCUGGGAAACUGGAAGUAAUACCGGAUGAGCCCUUUGGGGGAAAGAUUUAUCGGCGAAGGAUCGGCCCGCGUUGGAUUAGGUAGUUGGUGGGGUAAUGGCCUACCAAGCCGACGAUCCAUAGCUGGUUUGAGAGGAUGAUCAGCCACACUGGGACUGAGACACGGCCCAGACUCCUACGGGAGGCAGCAGUGGGGAAUCUUAGACAAUGGGGGAAACCCUGAUCUAGCCAUGCCGCGUGAGCGAUGAAGGCCUUAGGGUUGUAAAGCUCUUUCAGCUGGGAAGAUAAUGACGGUACCAGCAGAAGAAGCCCCGGCUAACUCCGUG